AUUCUGGUUCUUUUAAAGGACGCAAUAAAGUAGAACUUCACUGAGUUUUCAAAAUUGCCAGUGCAGCAGAUUGCAUUGGUUGUCCAAGUGUUCAUCAGUUUCAGUAAAUAAUUUGGACUGCACUCUUAUGCCUAUUCAUCUGGAAAUAAAGGUCAUUUGAAUUAAAUAGGGUUUUUUUAUUAUUAAAAUGUUGAAAAAGGAAGAUGAGCUGGUGUUUGAGUUUAAGAAGAAUGCAUCUUUCCUUGCACAGCCAACAAGCCCAUUUGUUGAAAAGCAAGGCUGAACCCUUGAGGUGCUACCUUUCUAUACGAAGGGACCGCAUUGCUCUCUCCUGUUUUGAGCAAUCCUGAACACUCCGCUGUAUGAUUUGGUCCAGGCAGCUUGGUUUGCCGACCCCGCAAAAAGAUGCGACCUCACUCUCCCUCUCUGCUUGUUAUCCGAAGGCAGGAUUUCCACGCGGCUGAAAGUUAUAGCGCCUGCGCAGGGAAUGGAGACCCAAACACGCCAGGCGGGGUUUAACUGGUACCCUCCGCCCAGGCUGGCCUCCCUCCACGUCGAUUAAAGAUGCCCCGCGGGAGUUAGCGGAACGCGCAGGGCUCGCCUUUGCCGGGGAGCAGCGAGACUCGAUUGUCAGUUGCGAAGCGCGGGGAAGCGAAGACAAGUUGGCCGGAGCGGAGGGGAGGGGGGGCGGGCGCGGGACCCCCUGUGGUGCCGAGGGUUGCCGGAGUUUGGGACCGGGCCAGCUGGUGAGGAAGUGAAGGCGGUGGCAGCUGAUUUCUCCCUCCUCUUCCUUUUCCUUCGCUUUUUCGCCGGCAGAAGCUCUCUCAUUCUCCGUCUGGCACCCAAUUUGCGGAGCCCAGAGGGAACAACAGUCACGCCGAUGAAUUACAAAUGAAACUUUUGCUCAGUUUUUCCAGAUUUCUACAACAAGAUGUUUACUGCAAAUACUGCAAACUGGGUUACUUUUGACGAUGAAUCCCAGUCUCCUCAGAGGGCAAAAGAAAAUGACAACGUUUGCAAACCAAAUGGGCUUAAACUCACACUGCCUAAAAUGCAAGAUUUUUCAAACCAAUUGUCUUCCAUCACCUGUACUUCUCUCUCUUCUCCUAUAAGUGACUACUACUAUAGCCCUGAUCCCCCCAGUAAUUCUCCACUCUGCACACCCACCAGAGACUAUCCUGUUAGUCCUUGCUUUCCCAAAUCAGGAACUCAUUUUCUAAGUCCUAUUCCAGAAUUGUCAUCCAACAUUAAUCAUCUCCCACUGAUUGAAUCACCUUCUCAAAAAUUGAUUGGAAUAUCUCAGCCUGUGCACAGUUCAGAAUUUUCUACUCUGAAACCAAUACAUGGCGCACAUGUUAUGCAUCAAGAAAACUCAAAAAAAUUGGAAAAUUCCUUAGACUCACAAACCUUGUUUCAGAAUGUUUCAAGUGACUCUGCUUUCUCUAAUCCAUUUUGGUCAGAAGAUUCAUGUACUAUGUCUUUGUCCAGCUUUCAUGGACAUGGAAAAGAGUCAGAUUUUGAAAGAGAUUAUUCUUUUAAAGGGAAGAAAAGCUGGCCAGAUCAGAAAAGCCUAAAUCAGGGUUCAUUCAAUUAUAUUUGUGAGAGGCUUGAACACUUGAAAACAGAAACUUCGAACACUGAAAGAGCUUUGAGGCCAGUUCCAUGUAUGUGCACUAGAGAUGGCCUUUCUUCAUUUAUUCCAAGCAGUCUCUUUAGCAGCCAGAGAAUAGAUGGCUGGCCUUUCAUGUUGAGGAUUCCUGAAAAGAAAAAUAUGAUGUCAUCAAGGCAGUGGGGUCCUAUUUACCUUAGAGUUUUAUCAGGAGGAAUCCUACAAAUGUAUUAUGAAAAAGGUCUUGAAAAACCUUUCAAAGAAUUCCAGCUGCAGCCAUUUUGCAGGCUUUCAGAACCAAAGUUAGAGAACUGCAACAUCUCUGGAAAAAUCCAUACAGUGAAAAUUGAAUAUGUGACGUAUACAGAGAAAAAGAAAUACCCUAAAACUGAAGUAGUUCAUGAAGCAGAGAUCGAACAGAUGCUGAAAUUAGGAACAAUUGAUUACAGUGACUUCACUGACUUCCUAAUGAUAGUUGAGGAAGAGUUAAUGAAGCUUCCUGCUAUUUCAAAACCAAAGAGACAUUAUGAAGAACAAGAAAUGAUCGUGGAAAUAGUGGAUAAUUUUUGGGGGACAAUUAGUAAAGCAGAAGAGAGGUUAAUUGAAACUGCUGUCAUAACUCAUAUUUAUUCAUUAAACUUUUUGAAUGGUAAUUCUGAGUGCUUUAUGACACUAAAUGACUUGGAGCUUCAAAAAAGGGAUGAACAUUAUUUUGAGUCAGACAUUAAGAAAAAAUGGAUCAAAAUGAGUGACUAUCACUUUCAUCAGUGUGUGAAGAAACAAGAAUUUGAGCAAUCAAGAAUAAUCAAAUUUACACCACCAGAUGGCUGUAGAGUAGAACUAAUGCGUUAUAGGACACAAUAUAAUGGAUCAGAUCUUCCAUUUUCUGUCAAAGCCUUGUUAGUCGUUCAAGGAGCUUAUGUCGAACUGCAAGCUUUCAUAAACAUGUCUUCAGCAUAUUCACACCCUACAAAACACUGUGAGAAUGUAAUGGUUCACUUUCCUGUUCCCUCACAAUGGAACAAAACUCUUUGGACUAUGAACCUCCAAAGACAGAGAUCCCUGAAAGCAAAAAUGAACAGAAGAACUUGCCUUGGCUCUUUAAACGAGGUUGAAUCUGACUCCAUUAUUCAUGUCUCAGUUGGAACAGCCAAAUAUGAAAGUGCCUAUAGAGCUAUUGUGUGGAAAAUUGACAGACUACCAGAUAAAAACUCAAAUCCAGAUCAUCUGCACAGUUUGUCUUUCAAACUAGAACUUGGCUCAGAUCAAGAAAUCCCUUCCAAUUGGAGCCCUUUUGCUGUGGUGCAGUUUGUUGUGUCUGACACAUGUGCCUCAGGAACUGAAGUGAAAUCAUGGGGUAUUGAUAGGGAUGUACAGCCUCAGAAACAUGUGAUUCAGAAAGCAUGUUAUAAUUGCCAGGUUGAAAUUGAGAAGAAAUGGAUUAGACUUGAGGGAGAAGAUCCCAAUAAGAGUGGAGAUUGUAACAUACAGUAGAAGAGAGAAGUAAUCUGGAUUCCUUUUGAGAUUGUGAGAAAUAUUUUAAUAUAAGCAGGAUAAUUUAAAUGCAGUAAAGAAAUGGAUAUCAGUAUAUAAUUUUCCAAUUGUCAUGUAAAAAGUUUAAGUACGUAAUUAUCAGUUUGCUUUCUAAACAUUUAAUAUAUUAACUAUAACAUUAUAAGAAUAAUACUAUAAGUUGAUUCUGUUUCAGAGUUUGUGGGAAACGAAUGGAACUCCAUAAAGCAGAUAUACUUUUCCUGAGAUAAUACAAGUACGAUAUGCACUGCAAGUGCCAUAUAAUUGUUGGAGAAAAUAUAUUUGGGUUAAUGAACUGCAGAUAGAUUCUGUUUGUACUUUUGUGUAUUCCUAAAUACCUUUCUGUCUUUCAACACAAAGGACAUACUAUAUUGAAAAUAACUAUAUUUUAUAUGACUUCAAAGUCAGUUCAUCAGAAAUCUUUUUAGUGAUAGCAUCCAAAUAUUUUAACUUUUGAUGUUGUCUAGUAUUAUAAGAAAUAGAUAAAAUCUGUCUGUAUAAUCCUUUAUAUUCUUCCCGACUUUCACUAAAAAAAAUGCAGGCCCAGCUAUAUUUAUUGGUAGAUUCAUUGGUGAGCUUAAACUUUUUACUGUAAGUUGAAUCUUAUACAUUGUAAGUACUUCAGUAUGUUCUUUUGCUACAUAAAAGUAUACGUGUGGAAAAUGAUUCACUAGAGUACAAGAUAUUUUUCAGGAUAGUAUGGUUGGCAAAAAUAGAGAACUAAUCCAUUGCUUUCUUCCAAAAUUGUUAAUAUAGGGGAAGCAUUGCAAUAAUUUGAACUGUUCCCUUCCUUUGGGGUUUUGGUGAAAAUAGGUUUUGCUUUGUAAUAUUUUGCCUUUGGUUAAAAAAUAUUUGAAUCUCCAACAAGAACAAAUGUUAGAUUGGAAAAAAAAGCCUUCAUUUGUUCUUCGGAGAAGUUGAAGAACAAGGUGUCUCAUAUGAACAUGAAAAGCAAGAUGUUCUUUGUUUUGCCAGCUGAGCUAGAGUUUACUUAAGGAGUGUGGAGUGGAUUGCACCUGACUCUAAAGGAAAAUAGCUAUACCCUUUGGGCUAUUUUGAACUUAUUUUUAAAAUUUAUUAUUUAGAUGUGUUUGGACAUUUGGGAAGAGGACUCAUCACUGUUUUCAAUCUUGAGAUCCCAAGUUAAGAAAGCAGGGUUCAAGGAGAGCUGUUUCCACAUUGAUUUCUUUGCUGUUGGUCUCUUUAGCAGUUUCCCCACUUCCAGGCUGCUCUGAGACCUUGUAGUCACCUUUUAUUCUCAGAAAAGGGUGAAAGAAAACUUAAUGUGAGUGGUUGCCCCCCCUCCCAUUUUUUAUACUGGCACAUUGUGUAAAAACUUCUGGCUGAAAUAAUAAAAUAUUGAUUCCAAAUUUAAA